rnacentral:rRNA from 1 species
ACAGCAGUAGCCACGGGAAUACGCAGGUGGCAAGCGUUGUCCGGAAUUAUUGGGCGUAAAGGGCUCGCAGGCGGUUUCUUAAGUCUGAUGUGAAAGCCCCCGGCUCAACCGGGGAGGGUCAUUGGAAACUGGGAAACUUGAGUGCAGAAGAGGAGAGUGGAAUUCCACGUGUAGCGGUGAAAUGCGUAGAGAUGUGGAGGAACACCAGUGGCGAAGGCGACUCUCUGGUCUGUAACUGACGCUGAGGAGCGAAAGCGUGGGGAGCGAACAGGAUUAGAUACCCGGGUAGUCCCUGUCUCUUAUAC